AUGGCUGUGGUGGAGACCCUGAACCCCAAGGCUGAGGUGGCCCAGGCGCACGCGGCACUGGCUGUGAAUAUCAGUGUGGCCCAGGGCCCACAGGACAUGCUGAGGAUCAACUUGGGGCCUAAGGACACCAUGAAGAUGCUUGUUUCUGGUGCUGGAGAAAUCAAAUGUACUAAAGAUGGGACCGUCCUGCUUCACAAAAUGAAAAUUCAACUCCCAACAGCCUCUUUAAUAGCAAAAGUGGCCACAGCCCAGGAUGACAUAACUGGUGAUGGUACUACUUCCAACGUCCUUAUCAUUGGGGAGCUGCUGAAACAGGCAGACCUCUACAUCUCUGAGGGUCUUAAGACUUUGAAGCUGUAAAGGAAAAGGACCUCCAGCUUUUGGAAUAAAUUAAACAGAGAAAUGGACAGAGAAACACUUAUCGACAAGGCCAGAACAUCUCUACUAACUAAAGUUUAUGCUGAGCUUGCAGAUGUCUUAACAGAGGCUGUAGUGGACUCCAUUUUGGCCAUUAAGAGAAAAGAUGAGCCCAUUGACCUCUUCAUGGUUGAACUCAUGGAGACGAAGCAUAAGUCUGAAACUGAUACAAGAUUAAUCCAAGGGUUAGUUUUGGAUUAUGGAGCAUGCCAUCCUGAUAAGAAGAAGAGAGCAGAAAAUGCAUACAACCACACAAGCAACGUUUCCUUAGAAUAUGAGAAAACAGAAGUGAAUUCUGGGUUUUUUUUUACAAGAGUGCAGAAGAGAGAAAAACUAGUAAAAGCAGAAUGAAAAUUCAUUGAAGACAGAGUUUUAAAAAAUAAUAGAAUUGAACAAAAAAGUCUGUGGUUUUUCAGAUAAAGGAUUUGUUGUUAUUAAUCAAAAUAGAAUUGACCCAUUUUCUUUAGAUGCCCUUGCAAAAGAAGGCAUAAUAGUUUGCGCAGAGCAAAGAGGAGAAAUAUGGAGAGGAUGACUCUUGCUUGUGGUGGGGUAGCUCUGAAUUCCUUUGAUGACCUGAAUCCUGACUGUCUGGGACAUGCAGGGCUUGUAUAUGAGUAUAUACUGGGAGAAAAGAAGUUCACCUUCAUUGAGAAAUGUAACAAUCCCCAUUCUGUUACAUUACUGGUCAAAGGACCAAAUAAGCACACACUGACUCAAAUCAAGGAUGCAAUAAGAGAUGGCUUGAGAGCUGUCAAAAAUGCUAUUGAUGACUGUGUUGUCCCAGAUGGUGGUGCUGUAGAAGUGGUCAUGGCAGAAGCCCUGAUUAAAUGCAAGCCCAGUGUGAAGGGCAGGGCUCAACUUGGAGUCCAGGUAUUUGUAGAUGCCUUGCUGAUUAUCCCCAAGGCUCUUGCCCAGAUUCUAGUUUUGACCUUCAGGAAACAUUAACGUUCAAGACGAACAUUCAGAAUCGGGCCAGCUUUUCGGUGUGGAUUUGAGCACAGGUGAGCCAAUGGUAGCAGCAGAAAUAGGCGUAUGGGGUAACUACUGUGUGAAGAAACAGCUUCUUCACUCCUGCACUGUCAUUGCCACCAACAUUCUCCUGGUAGAUGAGAUCAUGAGAGCUGGAAUGGCAUCUUUGAAAGGCUCAACUGUCCCUUUUAUGUGA